rnacentral:rRNA from 1 species
GAACUCCGAUUGCGAANGCAGCUUGCUGGACUGUAACUGACGCUGAGGCACGAAAGCGUGGGGAUCAAACAGGAUUAGAUACCNUGGUAGUCCACGCCNUAAACGAUGAAUGCUAGCUGUUAGCGAUAUACUGUUAGCGGCACAGAGAAAUCGUUAAGCAUUCCACCUGGGGAGUACGCCGGCAACGGUGAAACUCAAAGGAAUUGACGGGGGCCCGCACAAGCGGAGGAACAUGUGGUUUAAUUCGAUGAUACGCGAGGAACCUUACCUGGGCUUAAAUUGCAGUGGAAUAACGUGGAAACAUGUUAGCCUUCGGGCCGCUGUGAAGGUGCUGCAUGGUUGUCGUCAGCUCGUGCCGUGAGGUGUCGGCUUAAGUGCCAUAACGAGCGCAACCCUCAUCGAUAGUUACUAACAGGUUAAGCUGAGGACUCUAUCGAGACUGCCGACGUAAGUCGUGAGGAAGGUGGGGAUGACGUCAAAUCAGCACGGCCCUUACGUCCAGGGCUACACACGUGUUACAAUGGGGGGUACAAAGGGCAGCUACCUGGCGACAGGAUGCUAAUCUCAAAAACCUCUCUCAGUUCGGAUUGGAGUCUGCAACCCGACUCCAUGAAGCUGGAUUCGCUAGUAAUCGCGCAUCAGCCACGGCGCGGUGAAUACGUUCCCGGGCCUUGUACACACCGCCCGUCAAGCCAUGGGAGCCGGGGGGACCUGAAGUAUGCAACCGUAAGGAGCGUCCUAGGGUAAAACUGGUGACUGGGGCU